rnacentral:rRNA from 1 species
AUUGAACGCUGGCGGCAAGCCUAACACAUGCAAGUCGAACGAGUGGCGGACGGGUGAGUAAUGUAUGGGAAACUGCCUGAUGGCGGGGGAUAACUACUGGAAACGGUAGCUAAUACCGCAUACCAUCAGAUGUGCCCAAAUGGGAUUAGCUAGUAGGUGGGGUAAAGGCUUACCUAGGCGACGAUCCCUAGCUGGUCUGAGAGGAUGACCAGCCACACUGGGACUGAGACACGGCCCAGACUCCUACGGGAGGCAGCAGUGUGGAAUAUUGCACAAUGGGCGCAAGCCUGAUGCAGCCAUGCCGCGUGUAUGAAGAAGGCCUUCGGGUUGUAAAGUACUUUCAGCGGGGAGGCGUUACCCGCAGAAGAAGCACCGGCUAACUCCGUGCCAGCAGCCGCGGUAAUUC